rnacentral:rRNA from 1 species
GUGGGGAAUAUUGGACAAUGGGGGGAACCCUGAUCCAGCCAUGCCGCGUGUGUGAAGAAGGCCUUUUGGUUGUAAAGCACUUUAAGCGAGGAGGAGGCUACCGAGAUUAAUACUCUUGGAUAGUGGACGUUACUCGCAGAAUAAGCACCGGCUAACUCUGUGCCAGCAGCCGCGGUAAUACAGAGGGUGCAAGCGUUAAUCGGAUUUACUGGGCGUAAAGCGCGCGUAGGUGGCCAAUUAAGUCAAAUGUGAAAUCCCCGGGCUUAACUUGGGAAUUGCAUUCGAUACUGGUUGGCUAGAGUAUGGGAGAGGAUGGUAGAAUUCCAGGUGUAGCGGUGAAAUGCGUAGAGAUCUGGAGGAAUACCGAUGGCGAAGGCAGCCAUCUGGCCUAAUACUGACACUGAGGUGCGAAAGCAUGGGGAGCAAACAGGAUUAGAAACCCCUGUAGUCC